GGGCGACCGUAGGUGGAUAUGUGCGGAAAUCCUGGAGCUAAUACGUGCCAUUGACGCGGCGACGUUCUGGCGAACGGAGCCCAGCCUUUAUUAAACCGACCGGAGGCUUUCUUGCGAAGCCUUCCUACGGUGACUCCGGGUAACCGACAGUGGAUCGCAAGGCCACCAAGCCCGCGACGCAUCUUUCAAGGGUCUGCCUCAUCAACUAGACGGUUCGCAAAACGCCGACCGUGGUGGCGACGGGUGACGGAGAAUUAGGGUUCGAUUCCGGAGAGGGAGCCUGAGAGAUCGCUACCACAUCCAAGGAAGGCAGCAGGCGCGGAAAUUACCCACUCCUCGUACGGGGAGGUAGUGACGAUAGAUAACGACGCGGUCUUCUCGGAGGAGGAACCACGAUCGGAAUGAGCGCAGAUCAGAUCCUUCGUAUAUCGAGGAUCGAUUGGAGGGCAAGUC
rnacentral:rRNA from 1 species